rnacentral:rRNA from 1 species
AGUGAACGCUGGCGGUAGGCCUAACACAUGCAAGUCGAACGGCAGCACAGGAGAGCUUGCUCUCUGGGUGGCGAGUGGCGGACGGGUGAGGAGUACAUCGGAAUCUACUCUGUCGUGGGGGAUAACGUAGGGAAACUUACGCUAAUACCGCAUACGACCUACGGGUGAAAGCAGGGGACCUUCGGGCCUUGCGCGAUUGAAUGAGCCGAUGUCGGAUUAGCUAGUUGGCGGGGUGAAGGCCCACCAAGGCGACGAUCCGUAGCUGGUCUGAGAGGAUGAUCAGCCACACUGGAACUGAGACACGAUCCAGACUCCUACGGGAGGCAGCAGUGGGGAAUAUUGGACAAUGGGCGCAAGCCUGAUCCAGCCAUACCGCGUGGGUGAAGAAGGCCUUCGGGUUGUAAAGCCCUUUUGUUGGGAAAGAAAUCCAGCUGGCUAAUACCCGGUUGGGAUGACGGUACCCAAAGAAUAAGCACCGGCUAACUUCGUGCCAGCAGCCGCAGUAA